GCAGGGACUUGAAUACAAUGGUGAUGGUGAGGACCUUGAAAUCGAUCUGCUUGGAGACAGUAGAGACUGAAGAGGGCUGGGGACGUGCAGAGUUUGAUGCAGUACAACCAUGUUUCAAGUGUUGCAUCUAUCAAACGUGUCAUUGCUUGCACAGCAAAAGUAUGAUGAAAAGAGGGUACUAGGAAUAGAAUAACCAAUAUCCCAUUUCUCAGACAAACCAUCCAUCAAAUUGGAUGACCCCCCCCUCAAAGACCGUCCACAUUU